GUGCUUGUUUCAGCAGCACAUAUACUAAAAUUGGAACGAUACUGAGAAGAUUAGCAUGGCCCCUGCACGAAGAUGACACGUAAAUUCAUGAAGUGUUUCAUAUUUUC